AGGGCACAACACAACCGUCGUUCGUUGUGUUGACACACUCUGCACCCUGCUCCUGCCCUCGCCUUUUACUCCUCUUAUCCCCCUGAUACCCCCAUCAUUCGUGACAGCUCCUGAGUGACAGGAUUUCAUCAUCCAGCCCUGCAGGAUGCUCCCCUUUGUUCUGACGAUGGCUGUCCCAGACAGAGAGGAAGAGAUGGAGAUAGAUACUAAGAUUGAUGUGGAGGAGAAGAUGGAAAUAGAUGGAGAAGACCCUGGAGAGGAAGAAAUGGAUGUGGAUGUGGAGGAGGAAGAACAGAUGGAUGUGGAUAUGGAAGAGUCCAUUGAGGACAUGGACGUUGAUUAAGAAGGUGCGAUGGACAUCACAGAGUGGGACACCACCCUUUUGUAUAUAUGUUCACAGUUCGUUGUUGUUCUUUAGAAGAUAGAUUUUAGGCCUGUUUUUGACUUCUGUAAAUACGUUUCAGAUAGUUUUGUUAGGUAGGUUUUUAUGUAUAUAUGUUCUAUUGAUUGUUGUUGUUACAUUGUUCUUACAAUGUAAAUAUGUUCUGUAUUUUUGCUGUUCUUCUGUAAUAAACAAAUUUUAUUUUUCACA